rnacentral:rRNA from 1 species
GACGAACGCUGGCGGCGUGCUUUACCCAUGCAAGUCGGACGGGGGUGGCAACACUCCAGUGGCAGACGGCUGAGUAACACGUGAGUGACCUGCCCAGAGGUGGGGGAUAGCCCCUCGAAAGAGGGGGUAAUACCGCGUAAGCUGGCUGGAGUAGAGUUCAGUCAGGAAAGCCGAAAGGCGCCUUUGGAGGGGCUCGCGGCCCAUCAGGUAGUUGGUGGGGUAAUGGCCUACCAAGCUGAUGACGGGUAGCUGGUCUGAGAGGAUGAUCAGCCAGACUGGGACUGAGAGACGGCCCAGACUCCUACGGGGGGCAGCAGGGGGGAAUCUUGGACAAUGGGGGGAACCCUGAUCCAGCGACGCCGCGUGGAGGACGAAGGUCUUCGGAUCGUAAACUCCUUUUGACAGGGAAGAUGAUGACGGUACCUGUCGAAUAAGCCCCGGCUAACUACGUGCCAGCAGCCGCGGUAAUACGUAGGGGGCGAGCGUUGUCCGGAUUUACUGGGCGUAAAGAGCGCGUAGGCGGCCUGUUAAGUUGGCUGUGAAAGGUCCCGGCCCAACUGGGAUAAGUCAGCCGAGACUGGCGGGCUUGAGGGCGGUAGAGGAAGGUGGAAUUCCGGGUGUAGUGGUGAAAUGCGUAGAUAUCCGGAGGAACACCGGUGGCGAAGGCGGCCUUCUGGGCCGUACCUGACGCUGAGGCGCGAAAGCGUGGGGAGCGAACUGAAUUAGAUACUCAGGUAGUCCACGCCCUAAACUAUGGACGCUAGGUGUAGGGGGUAUCGACCCCUCCUGUGCCGAAGCUAACGCAUUAAGCGUCCCGCCUGGGGAGUACGGCCGCAAGGCUA